GACGAACGCUGGCGGCGUGCCUAAUACAUGCAAGUCGAGCGAAGUUUUUCUGGUGCUUGCACUAGAAAAACUUAGCGGCGAACGGGUGAGUAACACGUAAAGAACCUGCCUCAUAGACUGGGACAACUAUUGGAAACGAUAGCUAAUACCGGAUAACAGCAUUAACUGCAUGGUUGAUGUUUAAAAGUUGGUUUUGCUAACACUAUGAGAUGGCUUUGCGGUGCAUUAGCUAGUUGGUGGGGUAAAGGCCUACCAAGGCGACGAUGCAUAGCCGACCUGAGAGGGUGAUCGGCCACACUGGGACUGAGACACGGCCCAGACUCCUACGGGAGGCAGCAGUAGGGAAUCUUCCGCAAUGGGCGAAAGCCUGACGGAGCAACGCCGCGUGAGUGAAGAAGGAUUUCGGUUCGUAAAGCUCUGUUGUUAGGGAAGAAUGAUUGUGUAGUAACUAUACACAGUAGAGACGGUACCUAACCAGAAAGCCACGGCUAACUACGUGCCAGCAGCCGCGGUAAUACGUAGGUGGCAAGCGUUGUCCGGAAUUAUUGGGCGUAAAGCGCGCGCAGGUGGUCUAAUAAGUCUGAUGUGAAAGCCCACGGCUCAACCGUGGAGGGUCAUUGGAAACUGUUAAACUUGAGUGCAGGAGAGAAAAGUGGAAUUCCUAGUGUAGCGGUGAAAUGCGUAGAGAUUAGGAGGAACACCAGUGGCGAAGGCGGCUUUUUGGCCUGUAACUGACACUGAGGCGCGAAAGCGUGGGGAGCAAACAGG
rnacentral:rRNA from 1 species